rnacentral:misc_RNA from 1 species
AACGCACAUUGCGCCCGCCAGCACUCUGGCGGGCAUGCCUGUCCGAGCGUCACCUCGACCCUCGAGCCCCCGCCCCCUCUCGCGGGGGGGCGGGCUCGGCGUUGGGGGAACGGCGCGCGAGAACCCCCCCGCCGCAGCCAGCGCGCGGGGGGGCGCGGCCGCCCCCCGAAAUACAGUGGCGACCCCGCCGCGCCUCCCACUGCGUAGUAGCGCCCCUAGGGGAAGAACCUCGCACCGGGAGCGCGGAGGCCACGGUCACGCCGUAAAACACCCAACUCCUCUGAAGUUGACCUCGGAUCAGGUAGGAAUACCCGCUGAACUUAA